GAUUAAGUUAUUAAGGGCGCACGGUGGAUGCCUUGGCACUAGAAGCCGAUGAAGGACGUUACUAACGACGAUAUGCUUUGGGUAGCUGUAAGUAAGCGUUGAUCCAGAGAUUUCCGAAUGGGGGAACCCAGCAUGAGUUAUGUCAUGUUAUCGACAUGUGAAUUCAUAGCAUGUCAGAAGGCAGACCCGGAGAACUGAAACAUCUUAGUACCCGGAGGAAGAGAAAGAAAAAUCGAUUCCCUGAGUAGCGGCGAGCGAAACGGGAAGAGCCCAAACCAACAAGCUUGCUUGUUGGGGUUGUAGGACACUCUAUACGGAGUUACAAAAGAACAUGUUAGACGAAUCAUCUGGAAAGAUGAAUCAAAGAAGGUAAUAAUCCUGUAGUCGAAAACAUAUUCUCUCUUGAGUGGAUCCUGAGUACGACGGAGCACGUGAAAUUCCGUCGGAAUCUGGGAGGACCAUCUCCUAAGGCUAAAUACUCUCUAGUGACCGAUAGUGAACCAGUACCGUGAGGGAAAGGUGAAAAGUACCCCGGAAGGGGAGUGAAAGAGAACUUGAAACCGUGUGCUUACAAGUAGUCAGAGCCCGUUAAUGGGUGAUGGCGUGCCUUUUGUAGAAUGAACCGGCGAGUUACGAUCUGAUGCAAGGUUAAGCAGCAAAUGUGGAGCCGCAGCGAAAGCGAGUCUGAAUAGGGCGUUGAGUAUUUGGUCGUAGACCCGAAACCAGGUGAUCUACCCUUGGUCAGGUUGAAGUUCAGGUAACACUGAAUGGAGGACCGAACCGACUUACGUUGAAAAGUGAGCGGAUGAACUGAGGGUAGCGGAGAAAUUCCAAUCGAACUUGGAGAUAGCUGGUUCUCUCCGAAAUAGCUUUAGGGCUAGCCUCAAGUGAUGAUUAUUGGAGGUAGAGCACUGUUUGGACGAGGGGCCCCUCUCGGGUUACCGAAUUCAGACAAACUCCGAAUGCCAAUUAAUUUAACUUGGGAGUCAGAACAUGGGUGAUAAGGUCCGUGUUCGAAAGGGAAACAGCCCAGACCACCAGCUAAGGUCCCAAAAUAUAUGUUAAGUGGAAAAGGAUGUGGCGUUGCCCAGACAACUAGGAUGUUGGCUUAGAAGCAGCCAUCAUUUAAAGAGUGCGUAAUAGCUCACUAGUCGAGUGACACUGCGCCGAAAAUGUACCGGGGCUAAACAUAUUACCGAAGCUGUGGAUUGUCCUUUGGACAAUGGUAGGAGAGCGUUCUAAGGGCGUCGAAGCAUGAUCGCAAGGACAUGUGGAGCGCUUAGAAGUGAGAAUGCCGGUGUGAGUAGCGAAAGACGGGUGAGAAUCCCGUCCACCGAUUGACUAAGGUUUCCAGAGGAAGGCUCGUCCGCUCUGGGUUAGUCGGGUCCUAAGCUGAGGC
rnacentral:rRNA from 1 species